rnacentral:rRNA from 1 species
CCUACGGGACGCAGCAGUGAGGAAUAUUGGUCAAUGGACGCAAGUCUGAACCAGCCAUGCCGCGUGAGUGAAGAAGGUCUUCGGAUUGUAAAGCUCUUUGAUCAGGGACGAACAGAUGACGGUACCUGAAGAACAAGCCCCGGCUAACUACGUGCCAGCAGCCGCGGUAAAACGUAGGGGGCGAGCGUUGUCCGGAAUGACUGGGCGUAAAGGGUGCGUAGGCGGCAUAAUAAGUUAGAAGUGAAAUACCCAGAGCUUAACUCGGGUGCUGCUUCUAAGACUGUUGAGCUUGAGUGCGGGAGAGG